AUUGAACGCUGGCGGCAUGCCUUACACAUGCAAGUCGAACGGCAGCACGGGAGCAAUCCUGGUGGCGAGUGGCGAACGGGUGAGUAAAGUAUCGGAACGUGCCCAGUCGUGGGGGAUAACGUAGCGAAAGUUACGCUAAUACCGCAUACGAUCUAUGGAUGAAAGCGGGGGAUCGCAAGACCUCGCGCGAUUGGAGCGGCCGAUAUCAGAUUAGGUAGUUGGUGGGGUAAAGGCUCACCAAGCCGACGAUCUGUAGCUGGUCUGAGAGGACGACCAGCCACACUGGGACUGAGACACGGCCCAGACUCCUACGGGAGGCAGCGGUGGGGAAUUUUGGACAAUGGGCGAAAGCCUGAUCCAGCCAUGCCGCGUGCAGGAUGAAGGCCUUCGGGUUGUAAACUGCUUUUGUACGGAACGAAAAGGUUUGGGCUAAUAAGCUGAGCUCAUGACGGUACCGUAAGAAUAAGCACCGGCUAACUCUGUGCCAGCCGCCGCCGUAA
rnacentral:rRNA from 1 species